rnacentral:rRNA from 1 species
GACGAACGCUGGCGGCGUGCCUAAUACAUGCAAGUCGAGCGCAGGAAGCCGUUCCGAACCCUUCGGGGGGACGACGGUGGAAUGAGCGGCGGACGGGUGAGUAACACGUAAAGAACCUGCCCAUAGGUCUGGGAUAACCACGAGAAAUCGGGGCUAAUACCGGAUGUGUCAUCGGACCGCAUGGUCCGUUGAUGAAAGGCGCUUCGGCGUCGCCCAUGGAUGGCUUUGCGGUGCAUUAGCUAGUUGGUGGGGUAACGGCCCACCAAGGCGACGAUGCAUAGCCGACCUGAGAGGGUGAUCGGCCACACUGGGACUGAGACACGGCCCAGACUCCUACGGGAGGCAGCAGUAGGGAAUCUUCCACAAUGGACGAAAGUCUGAUGGAGCAACGCCGCGUGAACGAUGAAGGCUUUCGGGUCGUAAAGUUCUGUUGUAAGGGAAGAACAAGUGCCGCAGGCAAUGGCGGCACCUUGACGGUAC